rnacentral:tRNA from 1 species
GUGGAUGUGGCUCAAGCGGUAGUGUGCUCUCCUGGCAUGUGUGUGGCCCGGGUUUGAUCCUCAGCUCCACA